rnacentral:piRNA from 1 species
AGGGUCUUAUUGUGUAGCCCUGGCUGGUA